GACGGCUCAGAUCACAUCCCGAGAUGUCACCCUGGCCCGGGCCGGUCAGGCCCUUCCACCGCAGGGCUGCCCCAUGGCAGCCAGUGACACCGCUGAGACAACUUUGCCGUGGCCUUACUUUCAUUUCCUUGGUUGUUCAGUUUAUGGCAAAAGACCCUCAGCUGUGUUUUGUUUACUAAUUCCCCUAAGCCUGCCUUAAAUCCAGACUGCCAGGGCCACAGGAAAUCUUUCAGACCCCUGACAGUGUCUUCCUUUGGCUUUGGUAUCAAGGUAAUGCUGGCCUCAUAAGUUGUCUCCCUUUAUCCAUGAGGGACAUCUUCCAAGGCCCCCAGUGGAUGUCUGAAACCGCAGCAUACUUUUGUCCAUAAAGCAAAAUCCGAAGAUUAGUGUUAAGAAACAGGAUUUGGAACUCUCAGAACAAGGCCAUUGGGGGUGGAGAUUUCUUACCUAUGGCUUAAAGAGGCUUCCGAGGUGAUCGGGCAGCAUCAGUCUUCAGCUGCUAAGCCGAGAAGAUCUGGGAAGGAGUCAGUCAGAGAGCCGUGGGCCAGAGUUCCAGGGGCUCUGGGAGUGGCUGCCAGGUAAGUUGAACAGUCUGAUUUUCAGUGGGGUCCUGCACAGAUGGGACACGGCUUAGGAGGAAUCCCGGGCUGUGGGCAUUCCUUGGCCUGGUGGCCAGAUUCCGGCACUUGUAGCAAGCUCCUGGGGGUUCUGGAGGAACACUUGGCAGCUGCAGUUCAGGCAUUUGGAGUUCUUGUGUGCUGGAGAUGUGGCUGGGGUUUGUCUCAGUGCAGGCAAGGAAUUGCAAUUUAGAAAUAUGUUGCUACUUGGCUGCCUCUACUCUAAUAUUGUAUACCUUGAAGGUGAGGUUAAUUAAGUCUUGUUGUGAGGUUUGAGGGCCGGAAUUUAAUUUUUGGAGCUUUAUUUAAUGUUGGGAGCAGAUUCAGUAAUAAAAUAAAAUGUAUAUUGAGAAUAAGACGUCCUUUUGACCUUUUAGGGUCUAGGGCUGUAAAGUGUCUCAGGGUUGCUGCUAAUGGGGCCAUGAACUGGGCUGGGUUUUUUAUAGUUGAUGAAAAAGAGCUUAAACACUAACUGAUUUGGGACAGGUCGGAUAAAUAAAAAGGAGCAUUAACAUUGACUAUGCCUUUAGCUCCAGCCACCUUUUUAAGAGGAAAUUGCUGGGCAGGUGGGGGAGGGCUACUCAUGGAACGAAACUAUAAGACAGACCGGGUGUGAGUAGGGGAGGUGAUAAAAAGAUUAUAGGGUGUAGGAGCGGAGGCUGAGGAAGAAUUGGGACCUAGCUCGGCCUGGCGAGGAGGGGAGAGGUCAGAUGGGUCUGUAGAAAAGGAAGAUUAGAAAGAGUCAGCAACGCUUGGGGUUGGGAGUGAGGGGACAGGCGGGAGGGAAAGAAGGAAGAUUU
rnacentral:lncRNA from 1 species